AACGAACGCUGGCGGCAGGCUUAACACAUGCAAGUCGAGCGCCCCGCAAGGGGAGCGGCAGACGGGUGAGUAACGCGUGGGAACGUGCCCUUUGGUUCGGAACAACCCCGGGAAACUGGAGCUAAUACCGGAUAAGCCCUUCGGGGGAAAGAUUUAUCGCCAAAGGAUCGGCCCGCGUCUGAUUAGCUAGUUGGUGAGGUAAUGGCUCACCAAGGCGACGAUCAGUAGCUGGUCUGAGAGGAUGAUCAGCCACACUGGGACUGAGACACGGCCCAGACUCCUACGGGAGGCAGCAGUGGGGAAUAUUGGACAAUGGGCGCAAGCCUGAUCCAGCCAUGCCGCGUGAGUGAUGAAGGCCUUAGGGUUGUAAAGCUCUUUUGUCCGGGAAGAUAAUGACUGUACCGGAAGAAUAAGCCCCGGCUAACUUCGUGCCAGCAGCCGCCGUAAUAC
rnacentral:rRNA from 1 species